rnacentral:lncRNA from 1 species
CUGUUAUUCAGUGUUGUCGUUUGUUUAUGUGUUACAUAUUUGUUUUUCGUUCAUUUUUUUACAUAAAUAAGGCCGUUAGUUUUCUCGUUUGAUUUGUUUUACAUUGUCUUAUCGGGGCCUUUUAUAGCUGACUAUGCGGUAUGGGCUUUUCUCAUUGUUGAAGGCCGUACGGUGACCUAUAGUUGUUAAUGUCUGUGUCAUUUUGGUCUUUUGUGGAUAGUUGUCUUAUUGGCAAUCAUACCACAUCUUCUUUUUUUUUAUUU